rnacentral:rRNA from 1 species
GACGAACGCUGGCGGCGUGCCUAAUACAUGCAAGUUGAGCGCUGAAGGUUGGUACUUGUACCAACUGGAUGAGCAGCGCACGGGUGAGUAACGCGUGGGGAAUCUGCCUUUGAGCGGGGGACAACAUUGGGAAACGAAUGCUAAUACCGCAUAAAAACUUUAAACACAAGUUUUAAGUUUGAAAGAUGCAAUUGCAUCACUCAAAGAUGAUCCCGCGUUGUGUUAGCUAGUUGGUGAGGUAAAGGCUCACCAAGGCGAUGAUACAUAGCCGACCUGAGAGGGUGAUCGGCCACAUUGGGACUGAGACACGGCACAAACUCCUACGGGAGGCAGCAGUAGGGAAUCUUCGGCAAUGGGCGAAAGUCUGACCGAGAAACGCCGAGUGAGGGAAGAAGGUUUUCGGAUCGUAAAACUCUGUUGGUAGAGAAGAACGUUGGUGAGAGUGGAAAGCUCAUCAAGUGACGGUAACUACCCAGAAAGGGACGGCUAACUACGUG